rnacentral:rRNA from 1 species
UACAGAGGCCCCAAGCGUUAGGCGGAAUCACUGGGCUUAAAGCGUGUGUAGGCGGAUCGUUAAGUGUCUUGUGAAAUCCCACGGCUCACCCGUGGAACUGCUGGGCAUACUGGCGAUCUUGGGCCAACUAGGGGCAGUCGGAACAAGCGGUGGAGCGGUGAAAUGCGUAGAUAUCGCUUGGAACGCCGAAGGUGAAAACAGACUGCUGGGGUUGCGCCGACGCUGAGACACGAAAGCCAGGGGAGCAAACGGG